rnacentral:tRNA from 1 species
AAUGCAAUGACUGAAAAAGUGUUAGAUUGUAAAUCUAAAAAUGAGUGUUUUACUCUUGUAUUA